rnacentral:tRNA from 1 species
AGCUGUCACGCCGGUAUGAACGGGUUACUUUGAUGAGGUAAAAAAUGAGAUAUUUCUCUGACAUCUUC